rnacentral:rRNA from 1 species
UACGUAGGGGGCAAGCGUUGUCCGGAAUCAUUGGGCGUAAAGAGCGUGUAGGCGGCUCGGUAAGUCCGCUGUGAAAGUCCAGGGCUCAACCCUGGAAUGCCGGUGGAAACUGUCGAGCUAGAGUCCGGAAGAGGCGAGUGGAAUUCCUGGUGUAGCGGUGAAAUGUCGCAGAUAUCAGGAGGAACACCGGUGGCGAAGGCGGGUCUCUGGGCCGAUACUGACGCUGAGGAGCGAAAGCGUGGG